UACGUAGGGUGCAAGCGUUGUCCGGAAUUAUUGGGCGUAAAGAGCGUGUAGGCGGCUUGAUUAGUCUGCUGUGAAAGUCCAGGGCUCAACCCUGGAAUGCCGGUGGAUACUGUCAAGCUAGAGUCCGGAAGGGGCGAGUGGAAUUCCUGGUGUAGCGGUGAAAUGCGCAGAUAUCAGGAAGAACACCAAUGGCGAAGGCAGCUCGCUGGGACGUGACUGACGCUGAGACGCGAAAGCGUGGGGAGCAAACAGG
rnacentral:rRNA from 1 species